AGAGUUUGAUCCUGGCUCAGGACGAACGCUGGCGGCGUGCUUAACACAUGCAAGUCGGACGGGCGCCUUCGGGCGCUAGUGGCGAACGGGUGAGUAACACGUGAGCAACCUGCCCCUGGCUCUGGGAUAGCCUCCGGAAACGGGGAUUAAUACCGGAUAUUCACUUCCUUCCGCAUGGUUGGUGGUGGAAAGUUUUUCGGCCAGGGUGGGGCUCGCGGCCUAUCAGCUUGAUGGUGAGGUUACGGCUCACCAUGGCGACGACGGGUAGCCGGCCUGAGAGGGCGACCGGCCACACUGGGACUGAGACACGGCCCAGACUCCUGCGGGAGGCAGCAGUGGGGAAUAUUGCGCAAUGGGCGGAAGCCUGACGCAGCGACGCCGCGUGGGGGAUGACGGCCUUCGGGUUGUAAACCCCUUUCGCCAUCGACCAAGUCCCGGGUUUCUGCCGGGGGUGAGUGUAGGUGGGGAAGAAGCACCGGCUAACUACGUGCCAGCAGCCGCGGUAAUACGUAGGGGGCAAGCGUUGUCCGGAAUCAUUGGGCGUAAAGAGCGUGUGGGCGGCUCGGUAAGUCCGCUGUGAAAGUCCAGGGCUCAACCCUGGAAUGCCGGUGGAAACUGUCGAGCUAGAGUCCGGAAGAGGCGAGUGGAAUUCCUGGUGUAGCGGUGAAAUGCGCAGAUAUCAGGAGGAACACCAAUGGCGAAGGCAGCUCGCUGGGACGGUACUGACGCUGAGACGCGAAAGCGUGGGGAGCAAACAGGAUUAGAUACCCUGGUAGUCCCAGCUGUAAACGAUGUCCACCAGGUGCCGCGGGUAUCGACCCCUGCGGCGCCGCAGCUAACGUGAUGAGUGGACCGCCUGGGGAGUACGGCCGCAAGGUUAAAACUUAAAGGAAUUGACG
rnacentral:rRNA from 1 species